ACACCGCUGGUGUAGGGGUAACAUAUUACCUUCCCAUCUUCAAGAGAUUAGGAUCAGGUAAUGCCGUGGGUUCGAUUCCCGCGCGGUGUA